GAAUGAAUUGAUGUAUGUGAUUCUGAAUUUGAUUAGAUGAUGAACAAGCUUUGAAUUAUUGUGAUGCUGAACCGUGAUUCCUUGUUGUCGCAACUGUUGUAAUUGCAGUGUCGGUGUCGGUGUUUGGAUCAGCUAUUGAUUGAAGAUGAUGUGCAAACGAUGCGUAAACACGGGGCUGCCACUGGAGGCUCUUUGAUGAAGGUGAUGCCACAACACCUCUUUGGAUUCACGGGAACUUUGGAUAUUAAGGAGACUUGAAGAUGAUCUUCAAGUGGAAACCUUCCACCAAGGUAUGAACUAUUUCUUCACCCUUUUUCAAACUAUGGAACUUUGAAAAUUAUGAAAAGAGAGAAGUGAGAAAGCUAGUAGUAUAGUAGCUUUGGUGUGAUUUGCAAUGAAGAGAACACCUCUAUUUAUAGGAAAAGCUUAGGAUGUGUUUGGCAUAAAAAUUAACUUGAUUGGCAAGAUUGUAAUCAUUGAGAAAAUAAGAAUAAGAAUAAGAAUAUUCUCCAUGUCAUUAUGCAAA